GAUGAACGCUGGCGGCGUGCCUAAUACAUGCAAGUCGAGCGAACAGACGAGGAGCUUGCUCCUCUGACGUUAGCGGCGGACGGGUGAGUAACACGUGGAUAACCUACCUAUAAGACUGGGAUAAUUUCGGGACACCGGAGCUAAUACCGGAUAAUCUAUUGAACCGUAUGGUUCAUUAGUGAAAGACGGUUUUGCUGUCACUUAUAGAUGGAUCCGCGCUGCAUUAGCUAGUUGGUAAGGUAACGGCUUAUCAAGGCAACGAUGCGUAGUCGAACUGAGAGGGGGAUCGGCCACACUGGAACUGAGACACGGUCCAGACUCCUACGGGAGGCAGCAGUAGGGAAUCUUCCGCAAUGGGCGAAAGCCUGACGGAGCAACGCCGCGUGAGUGAUGAAGGUCUUCGGAUCGUAAAACUCUGUUAUUAGGGAAGAACAAAUGUGUAAGUAACUAUGCACGUCUUGACGGUACCUAAUCAGAAAGCCACGGCUAACUACGUG
rnacentral:rRNA from 1 species